rnacentral:rRNA from 3 species
AGACCCGAAACCCGGUGAUCUAGCCAUGGGCAGGUUGAAGGUUGGGUAACACUAACUGGAGGACCGAACCGACUAAUGUUGAAAAAUUAGCGGAUGACCUGUGGCUGGGGGUGAAAGGCCAAUCAAACCGGGAGAUAGCUGGUUCUCCCCGAAAGCUAUUUAGGUAGCGCCUCGUGAAUUCAUCUCCGGGGGUAGAGCACUGUUUCGGCUAGGGGGCCAUCCCGGCUUACCAACCCGAUGCAAACUGCGAAUACCGGAGAAUGUUAUCACGGGAGACACACGGCGGGUGCUAACGUCCGUCGUGAAGAGGGAAACAACCCAGACCGCCAGCUAAGGUCCCAAAGUCAUGGUUAAGUGGGAAACGAUGUGGGAAGGCCCAGACAGCCAGGAUGUUGGCUUAGAAGCAGCCAUCAUUUAAAGAAAGCGUAAUAGCUCACUGGUCGAGUCGGCCUGCGCGGAAGAUGUAACGGGGCUAAACCAUGCACCGAAGCUGCGGCAGCGACGCUUAUGCGUUGUUGGGUAGGGGAGCGUUCUGUAAGCCUGUGAAGGUGGCCUGUGAGGGUUGCUGGAGGUAUCAGAAGUGCGAAUGCUGACAUAAGUAAC